GGGUUGUGAGGUUAAGCGACUAAGCGUACACGGUGGAUGCCCUGGCAGUCAGAGGCGAUGAAGGACGUGCUAAUCUGCGAAAAGCGUCGGUAAGGUGAUAUGAACCGUUAUAGCCGGCGAUGUCCGAAUGGGGAAACCCAGUGCAAUUCGUUGCACUAUCGUUAACUGAAUACAUAAGUUAACGAGGCGAACCGGGGGAACUGAAACAUCUAAGUACCCCGAGGAAAAGAAAUCAACCGAGAUUCCCCCAGUAGCGGCGAGCGAACGGGGAGCAGCCCAGAGUCUGAAUCAGCUUGUGUGUUAGUGGAACGGUCUGGAAAGUCCGACGGUACAGGGUGAUAGUCCCGUACACCAAAAUGCACAGGCUGUGAACUCGAAGAGUAGGGCGGGACACGUGGUAUCCUGUCUGA
rnacentral:rRNA from 1 species